GUGAAAGAGCAAGCGUGAAAUUUUUAUUUAUUUAUUUUAUUUCGUUGAUCAUUCAGACAGGCUAUACCACAGUAUUUGAAGUAGCCUUUUGUUGGAGCUAUUGCAUAUAAAAAUCUGGCAUCAAAACUCAGUAGGAUCGAUCACAGAGAGAAGCAACUGAAUUCAGAGAGCUGUGAAGAAAUUAAAUCAGUGAGAAGUUCUUCAUUUAACUCUGAUCAUGGCUCUAGUGGGUUCUGGUUUCAUGCCAAAUACCAUGCUUACACUUGCCUAACUCCAUCUCCUACCAUCAGAAGGCUGUGACCAUAAGAUGUGCAGCUCGAAAAGGGAGAGGAUCGUGAGCAAAGGAGAAUACGGGCCAAAAAUCCAUAAUGUUCUUAGAAUUUCAAAGAGGAUUGAAGUUAGUGUCAGGGAAGAAAACAUUGAUCCUUUUGGCUUUAAUGCUGUUGAAGAUAAUAAAGACAGCAAAAAGGAUGAUGCUUCAGCUCUAGAGUACUCAGAGGCCACUGAUAAAUUACUUUAGUAAAGCUAAUGUUAUGCGAUCACUUUUCUCUGUUUUCCUUUUUAAUAUUAUUUUGUACUUGAUUCAACUUGGAUUGCUCGUUGAUCUAAUUUGGUAAGAUAUAUUCAAUA